AUUGAACGCUGGCGGCAGGCUUAACACAUACAAGUCGAGCGGGGGAAGGUAGCUUGCUACCGGACCUAGCGGCGGACGGGUGAGUAAUGCUUAGGAAUCUGCCUAUUAGUGGGGGACAACAUCUCGAAAGGGAUGCUAAUACCGCAUACGUCCUACGGGAGAAAGCAGGGGAUCUUCGGACCUUGCGCUAAUAGAUGAGCCUAAGUCGGAUUAGCUAGUUGGUGGGGUAAAGGCCUACCAAGGCGACGAUCUGUAGCGGGUCUGAGAGGAUGAUCCGCCACACUGGGACUGAGACACGGCCCAGACUCCUACGGGAGGCAGCAGUGGGGAAUAUUGGACAAUGGGGGGAACCCUGAUCCAGCCAUGCCGCGUGUGUGAAGAAGGCCUUAUGGUUGUAAAGCACUUUAAGCGAGGAGGAGGCUACUUUAGUUAAUACCUAGAGAUAGUGGACGUUACUCGCAGAAUAAGCACCGGCUAACUCUGUG
rnacentral:rRNA from 1 species